rnacentral:lncRNA from 1 species
GCCGCCAGCCACCGGCUUGCGGCCGGACGCCCGCACUCGACACAAUCCACUGACCGCCAGCAACAAAAAAUCCCACCCCUCACAGCUCUCCAACUUAGCGAGGUCUGGGAUGGGGUCCGGGGGAAGGGUGGGGGCGGCGGAGGCGGUUCUUGUCCAAGUUCUACCCCAUUUGCUUUGUGGCUGCACCCGGAUCGGACGUGCCCCGGGAAGGCGUCCACGCUCCAAGGCAAGGUUGUCUCCAUGCAGUUUCUACAGCCCGAGUUUAAACUAGUCCUUUGCAUUCUACCCAGCCCUCUGCAAUGCGGAUGUAUUUUAAAUCUUAAAUUCUUUAGGGAACAGC